rnacentral:rRNA from 1 species
AUUGAACGCUGGCGGCAGGCUUAACACAUGCAAGUCGAGCGGAGAGAGGUAGCUUGCUACUGAUCUUAGCGGCGGACGGGUGAGUAAUGCUUAGGAAUCUGCCUAUUAGUGGGGGACAACAUUUCGAAAGGAAUGCUAAUACCGCAUACGUCCUACGGGAGAAAGCAGGGGAUCUUCGGACCUUGCGCUAAUAGAUGAGCCUAAGUCGGAUUAGCUAGUUGGUGGGGUAAAGGCCUACCAAGGCGACGAUCUGUAGCGGGUCUGAGAGGAUGAUCCGCCACACUGGGACUGAGACACGGCCCAGACUCCUACGGGAGGCAGCAGUGGGGAAUAUUGGACAAUGGGCGCAAGCCUGAUCCAGCCAUGCCGCGUGUGUGAAGAAGGCCUUAUGGUUGUAAAGCACUUUAAGCGAGGAGGAGGCUACUUUAGUUAAUACCUAGAGAUAGUGGACGUUACUCGCAGAAUAAGCACCGGCUAACUCUGUGCCAGCCGCCGCCGUAAAAC